rnacentral:lncRNA from 1 species
UAUCAUUUGGAGUACCUGUAUAAAACUUUGCUAAUACAUAUGGACGAUCGCAAUGAAAUAAUUCAGAAAGCUAUAUUAGGUUGCUUAAAAAUCGGUGCUUGUAAACACCCCUUACUUUUGAAGCAGCUUGUUGACGACGUUGUUUUAAAGCAUCGCACGAAACAGUAUUGCGAAGAGCUUUUGCAUCAUUGUGAGGAACUUAAUAAAACAUUUUCGAACGAGCCUAAUAAUAUGGCGUGAACUUUUUUUCAACAUGUAUUUAUUAUUUUGUUACCAGAUAUCAACGAUUUUA